AUUCAUAAUCGGGUGCAAAAAGAAAAUAGAAGAAGCAUAGAGGUUCAAAUCCUCUUCGAGGCA
rnacentral:tRNA from 1 species